rnacentral:rRNA from 2 species
AGUCGAGGGGUAUAGUUCUUCGGAACUAGAGACCGGCGCACGGGUGCGUAACGCGUAUGCAAUCUACCUUUUACAGAGGGAUAGCCCAGAGAAAUUUGGAUUAAUACCUCAUAGCAUAGCAGUCUCGCAUGAGAUCACUAUUAAAGUCACAACGGUAAAAGAUGAGCAUGCGUCCCAUUAGCUAGUUGGUAAGGUAACGGCUUACCAAGGCUACGAUGGGUAGGGGUCCUGAGAGGGAGAUCCCCCACACUGGUACUGAGACACGGACCAGACUCCUACGGGAGGCAGCAGUGAGGAAUAUUGGACAAUGGGCGCAAGCCUGAUCCAGCCAUGCCGCGUGCAGGAUGACGGUCCUAUGGAUUGUAAACUGCUUUUAUACGAGAAGAAACACUCCAACGUGUUGGAGCUUGACGGUAUCGUAAGAAUAAGGAUCGGCUAACUCCGUGCCAGCAGCCGCGGUAAUACGGAGGAUCCAAGCGUUAUCCGGAAUCAUUGGGUUUAAAGGGUCCGUAGGCGGUUUAGUAAGUCAGUGGUGAAAGCCCAUCGCUCAACGGUGGAACGGCCAUUGAUACUGCUAAACUUGAAUUAUUAGGAAGUAACUAGAAUAUGUAGUGUAGCGGUGAAAUGCUUAGAGAUUACAUGGAAUACCAAUUGCGAAGGCAGGUUACUACUAAUGGAUUGACGCUGAUGG